CCUACGGGAGGCUGCAGUGGGGAAUAUUGGACAAUGGGGGGAACCCUGAUCCAGCCAUGCCGCGUGUGUGAAGAAGGCCCUCGGGUUGUAAAGCACUUCCAGUGAGGAAGAACGCCUGGUGGUUAAUACCCAUCAGGAAAGACAUCACUCACAGAAGAAGCACCGGCUAACUCCGUGCCAGCAGCCGCGGUAAUACGGAGGGUGCGAGCGUUAAUCGGAAUUACUGGGCGUAAAGCGCGCGUAGGUGGCUUGAUAAGCCGGUUGUGAAAGCCCCGGGCUCAACCUGGGAACGGCAUCCGGAACUGUCAAGCUAGAGUGCAGGAGAGGAAGGUAGAAUUCCCGGUGUAGCGGUGAAAUGCGUAGAGAUCGGGAGGAAUACCAGUGGCGAAGGCGGCCUUCUGGACUGACACUGACACUGAGGUGCGAAAGCGUGGGUAGCAAACAGGAUUAGAUACCCUUGUAGUC
rnacentral:rRNA from 1 species